rnacentral:lncRNA from 1 species
UAUGAGCAUAAAAUUCAGAAGUCUUUUUUACUUUCUUAAAUUAUGUGUCAAGUCAAAAGAUUACGAAGAAAGUAGUAACGUUCUCCGCUAUAAAAUAGUGGAUGUAACUAAGAUAUUCAUCAGGACACCAAAUUUAUCUCUCUCCUAAUAUACAAUGUUAUUAAGAAGCUCAUCAUCAUCGAGUUGCAUACUUAAUUCAUGGAUAUCCAACGUUAGGACCCCAUUAUCAACGUCCAUUCAGCUUAAUUAUGAUGAAAAUUACUGU